rnacentral:rRNA from 1 species
GUGCCACCGCGGUAAUACGAAGGGGCUAGCGUUGCUCGGAAUCACUGGGCGUAAAGGGUGCGUAGGCGGCGCGGUAAGUCGGGUGUGAAAUCUCGGAGCUUAACUCCGAAACUGCAUUCGAUACUGCCGUGCUUGAGGACUGGAGAGGAGACUGGAAUUUACGGUGUAGCGGUGAAAUGCGUAGAUAUCGUAAGGAAGACCAGUGGCGAAGGCGGGUCUCUGGACAGUUCCUGACACUGAGACACGAAGGCCAGGGAGCAAACGGG